UACGUAGGGGGCAAGCGUUGUCCGGAUUUAUUGGGCGUAAAGAGCUCGUAGGCGGUUUGUCGCGUCUGCCGUGAAAGUCCGGGCUCAACUCCGGAUCUGCGGUGGUACGGCAGACUAGAGUGAUGUAGGGGAGACUGGAAUUCCUGUGUAGCGGUGAAAUGCGCAGAUAUCAGAGGAACACCGAUGGCGAAGGCAGGUCUCUGGGCAUUAACUGACGCUGAGGAGCGAAAGCAUGGGGAGCGAACAGG
rnacentral:rRNA from 1 species